GACGAACGCUGGCGGCGUGCUUAACACAUGCAAGUCGAACGGAAAGGCCCUGCUGUUGUGGGGUGCUCGAGUGGCGAACGGGUGAGUAACACGUGAGUAACCUGCCCUUGACUUUGGGAUAACUUCAGGAAACUGGGGCUAAUACCGGAUAGGAGCUCCUGCUGCAUGGUGGGGGUUGGAAAGUUUCGGCGGUUGGGGAUGGACUCGCGGCUUAUCAGCUUGUUGGUGGGGUAGUGGCUUACCAAGGCUUUGACGGGUAGCCGGCCUGAGAGGGUGACCGGCCACAUUGGGACGGAGAUACGGCCCAGACUCCUACGGGAGGCAGCAGUGGGGAAUAUUGCACAAUGGGCGGACGCCUGAUGCAGCAACGCCGCGUGCGGGAUGACGGCCUUCGGGUUGUAAACCGCUUUCGCCUGUGACGAAGCGUGAGUGACGGUAAUGGGUAAAGAAGCGCCGGCUAACUACGUG
rnacentral:rRNA from 1 species